rnacentral:sRNA from 1 species
UGUAAAUACCCUCCUUGGGUGUUUCCUCCCUAGACUUAACCGCUCUUCGGAGCGGUUUUUUUUGCCGAUC